UUGAAAACAAUGGUUCUCGUUCGAUCACCGAAAUUAAGCAUCGUAGAGCCAGGUCAGUACUUAGAUGGGGGACCGCUUGGGAACACCUGGU